CAUUUAGGCUGUUUCCAAUGAUUGCUAUUAUAACAUCCACACAUAAUUUUUGCAAAUUUAUCUAAUUAUUGCCUAUGAUAACUUCUUAGAAGUAAGAUUUCUGAGAAUGCACUUUUCAAAGAUUUUUCUUGUAUUGUUCAGCUACUCUUCAGGAAGUUUGUGCCAGUUUAUACUCUCAUCAGUUGUUUAAUAUUAUUGUCCCACUUACUAUGAAUGCUCUAGCUCUAUCUCAGCUGUGCCUUGAGGUGUUAAAGAAAGAGCUCCUAGGGCCAGUUUGGUGGCAACAAUAGCCAAUUAGUAUGAGAUUAUCCAAAGGAUGCAGAAUCCCAGGGAGCAAGAAUGGGGGCCGUAAGUUCCAGCUGCUCCACUCUACUUAGGUUCUUUUAUGGCCUCUCGAAGGAUUUGAAAUUGAUUGCUUGAUUGAUUUUAUGAAGGAACACAUUAGUUCCAUCCAAAUGAUGGUGGUGGUGAUGAGUGCAUGGUCAUGAUGAUACCAAUGUGUGGUCGUGACAGUGUGAUAUUGAUGAGGGUAUGGACAAUGGUGGUAACAGGUUAACAGUGGUUCUGAUGGUGAGUGCAGUGCCAAUGAUGGAGAUGGUGGUGGUGCUGGUGUUGACAAUAGGAUGGCAGUUAUGGUGGUGGUAGUGGUGACAAUGUUGGUGGUGAUGACUUAUGAUGAUGGUAAGAAUGGUGAUGGUAACUGUGGUGGUAAUAGUGAGUUUAGCACUGAUGAGGGAGAUGGUGGUGGUGGUACUGACAGUAGGGUGGUAGGAAUGGUGGUUGUGGUCACAGCCACGUUGUGAUGGUGGUUAUGAAGGUGGUGAGAAUGGUGUUGACAGUGUUGGUGAUGGUAGAAACGGUGGUGUGGCAUUGACUGUGGCAUGGUGGUGACAAUGGUGAGAAGAUGUGACAGUGGUGAGGGGCAGCGUGAUAGAAGGGGGAUGGUGGUGGUUCACGAUAGUGGUGAGUGGUGUUGGUGCUGAUGGGAAGCCCGGUGCUGAUGGUAGUGCUGGGGUGUUGUGGAAAUAGAAAGGUGAAAGUGCAUAGAUGAUGGUGAAGGAAUGCAAUACAGGAUUAAAAUAGAUACAAAGGGAGGGAGAGGUUGUCUUAGGAAUGUGAAUAAAGGAAGCAGCAUGUUCUAGACCUAGAACAGCGAGGAGACCCACUGGCCAGAGGGGAUGGUGGGGGAGACGUGCAGUGGGAGUGGGUGCUGGGAAGAGUCCUGGAAGUAGUGAGAAGAAUGUGGACUCCAGGAGGGCAGCACGGGGAGGCAUUCUGCAUCCUGGGAGGGAUAGGUAAGAGCCGAGUGGCCUGCUAGAGAAGAAAAGUGGAUGAGGACCUGGCUGUUGGCCCUCAUGCUGGCCUCAGAUGGAGGCAGAAGGUAGGCUAGGCCCUCUCCAGUGUGGGCAAGUGUCCCAGGCAUGCUGGCAGCAUGGAGGAAAAGGGUGUGAAGGGCCUUCAGUAGCUGAGCCAACCUUAGAAUGCAUGGGCAUGGGGAGAGGCAAAUACCUGGUGCUCUUGUACCAGCUGUACCUGGCAGCUCCUGCUCUCACCUUUGCUUGAGAGGGAGAAGGGUCUGGAGCAGGGACCCAGAGCUCCAGCUCCCUUCUCUCCCCCAGCUCCCUGCCUCUCAACAGCUCCCUGAAUCUCCAGUAGGCAGUUUUUGUUCAGUAGCUUUGCCUGGAUUCAGAGCCCCUUCCCCGACUUUCCAGGUAUAGCAUGAAGCUGUUUGGUGUGUAUACAAAGCUGCAGGAUUCACUCUUCCGGGGCACAGAUGCCUGAGAAACUUCAGGGAGGCAGAAAGCUUGUGUCUGAGCAGCCAUCAUCUGGGCAUCAAGGGGUUAACCCAUCCCUGAGGGCUGGGCCAGGUCUUUUCCUCGGACUGGGCCCCGCCCUCCGGUUCCUCCAUAGAAGUCACUGGAGUCAACUAGGAGCUCACUUUGUGGGAGGGAGAAACGUUUUUUUCUCUUAUUUGAAUGGUGCUCGUGACCUCACAAGGUUUCCAUGGUGACAAGACCAAGGGAGCCAGGGGGACUUGGUGAAUUAGGCCAAACAAACCCACCUCCAAGAGUCUUCUUCCAGACUCCGGGCUUGAGGACGAGGACUCCAGCCACAGCCUCCUCAUGAAGUUUGAAGUCUGCAUUGAACUCAUUAAUUUCCAGCUUUUGGCCGGGCGUGGUGGCUCAUGACUGUAAUUCCAGCACUUUGGGAGGCCAAGGAGGGCGGAUCACCUGAGAUCAGGAGUUUGUGACCAGCCUCACCAACAUGAUGGGGCCCAUGAGUGAGGAGGACAAGAGAGAAAGGAGAAGUUUGGGUGGAAAUCCCAGAGAUUGUUCAUCAUGUGAGAGGAGCCAUGCUGCAUUUCAUGCCAUACUCACACCAUGGAUGGAGAAAAAAAAUCAAGCUUCACUUUCUAAGAAUGGCCCUGGGGCCACUGCAUCUAGUGCCUGUGCAUCUGCAGACCUGCUGGAUGCCUCCAGGGGAAUCAUGCCACCCCAAGCAAGAAAGGGCCCAGUUGCCAGGAGCCUGGAGGCAGAGAGCUGAGGAGCCAGCCCCUGACAUCAGAAUGGAGCUCAAAGGUUGGCUGGGUGUGACUCUGUGGUGGACAGCUUCUCUUGGGAAAUCUACUUUAAUGAAUCCAGAGGAGCAAUUUGUAAUCAGCCCAUCAAAUGUUAAGGGACACUUAGCUGGAAUCUUGUUGCUGGACUCUGUGCCCUGCAGUGGAUGACAGUUCUCCAUCAGGGUCUGUAGUCCUCUACCCUGGAUUUGCUGCAUCUUGGAGCCCCCAAUAGUCAGGUACCGGCUCUCAGAACUGCCUGCAUCCCAUUGCCCUGAGCUGCUGUCUGCCAGGGCUGCUGGUAACCAGGCCCACAGGGCUGGAUAUUCCCCCAACAGGGCAGCUCCCAGUCCAAGCCCAACUGUUACCAGCCCAGAAAGAUGUUUCAGGAUACCCCUUUCCUCCCCACUUCCCUGCCCUCUGCAGCUCCAGCUGGUGCACCCCAUCUUUCUCUCCCCCUCCCUGCUAGGCUGGGCCCUAACAGACCUUUGAGGUGCUUGGGCUUAUUCUGUAACCUUGAGUAACCUUGAGCUACUGCCUCACUCCAUUCCUCACUUUUCUUCUUCUUAAGGUUUCUAACUGGAUUUUGCCAGUGUAUUUAUUUCAAAACUGGUCAUCUUACUGACCUCGCUCAUAGUCUCUUAUUAGUUUUCCAGUUGAUUCUCUUUAGUUUUCUGGAUAAACAAUAUCAUGUACAAAUAA